CCGGAAGUAGCCCUGCAGCAACGAGGGAUCGCGCUCACCCAGGCCGGUGAUAUCGAUCACCCCGCAUACCUGCCCAUUGAGAUCGUGCAGUGGCUCGCUGAGGCAGAACACCGGGGCGAACCGCUGCAGGUAGUGUUCAUUGCCCCGUACCAGCGCAGGCAGGUCGUCGGCCAGGCUGACUGCCGGUGCCGUGGUGCCGAUCUCGCCCUCGCCCAGCCUCCGCCCGACCUGGAUCGGGCGCAGCAGCGGUGCAUCUUCCAGGCCAUGGGCCUGCUGCGCGAUCACCAUGCCCUCACGGUUGGCACAGAACAUCGUCCAGCCACGCCCGCCAAAGGCGGCCCACAGCUGUUCCAGCUCCGGCCGCACGCAGCGCGCGAGCCGACGGUCGCCGGGAUCGGAAAGAUGCCGGCCAUCACCCAGCAGCGGACGGUAGUCCGGCUCCUGCCCGGGCAGCAGGCCCGCCGCGCGCGAACGCAGCCAUGACUGCUGCAGCGGCAGCGGCAACACGCCCAAUGAGCGCGCAUCGCCCUCGGCGAAAGCGGCACGUGCCGCCACCAGUUGUUGCUGCCCGACUGUCGUGGCCAUCAUGGACGCAGCCUACACCCGUCGGCGGCAACGCCACGUUACGUUCCGACAACGGAAUGUUUCCGCCAACGGUUCAAACACGGGGUCAGAGGCGUUUUCCUUUGGAAAACGGAUCCGACCCCGUGCCGACCAACAGCGGCGGGAACCUGUCGAAGGCGGGGUGGGUCCGGUUGCGGGGGUGUCAGCCGCAUGGAUGCGGCUGCCAAGCCCCCAGGGGUGAGGGCGCUUUGCUCGCGAAGCACUGCUUCGCAAGCGCGCGAACGCACAGCCGCCAGCGGCUGGGCCGGACCGCGGAGCGGGGUUUACGGCGUCCCCCGCAACCGGGCCCACCCCGCCAUCCCACGGAAUGCCCGCUUUUGCCGUUGCCGUGGACGUUGCUUCGGCGGGUGCAGGGCGCAGUCCUGCAAACCCUCCCCACCCUCCCCCACGCCGAAAGCCCAAGGUUUCCUUGCGCAACGUUAAUCGGCGCAGGGUGAGUCGGCCCCUAAGGCGAGGACGAAAGUCGUAGUCGAUGGGAAGCAGGUUAAUAUUCCUGCACCUCGCGUAAGUGCGAUGGAGGGACGGAGAAGGUUAGGUGUACCAGGCGUUGGUUGUCCUGGGGAAAGGCGGUAGGUUUGGAUCUUUGGCAAAUCCGGGAUCCUUUAAGACCGAGCACCGAGACGAGCCUUUAUGGCGAAGUCACUGAUACCACGCUUCCAGGAAAAGCUCCUAAGCUUCAGCUUACGCAGACCGUACCGUAAACCGACACAGGUGGGUAGGAUGAGAAUUCUCAGGCGCUUGAGAGAACUCGGGUGAAGGAACUAGGCAACAUGGCACCGUAACUUCGGGAGAAGGUGCACCCUUUUUGGUGGCUCGUGCGAGCUAUAGCUGAAGAGGGUCGCAGUAACCAGGCCGCUGCGACUGUUUAUCAAAAACACAGCACUCUGCAAACACGAAAGUGGACGUAUAGGGUGUGACGCCUGCCCGGUGCUGGAAGGUUAAUUGAUGGGGUCAGCCGCAAGGCGAAGCUCUUGAUCGAAGCCCCAGUAAACGGCGGCCGUAACUAUAACGGUCCUAAGGUAGCGAAAUUCCUUGUCGGGUAAGUUCCGACCUGCACGAAUGGCGUAACGACAGCGGCGCUGUCUCCACCCGAGACUCAGUGAAAUUGAAAUCGCUGUGAAGAUGCAGCGUUCCCGUGGCAAGACGGAAAGACCCCGUGAACCUUUACUAUAGCUUUACACUGAACGUUGAGUUCGUCUGUGUAGGAUAGGUGGGAGGCUAUGAAACCAUGGCGCUAGCUGUGGCGGAGCCAUCCUUGAAAUACCACCCUGUCGUGCUUGACGUUCUAACCUGGGCCCAUUAUCUGGGUCGGGGACCGUGUAUGGUGGGUAGUUUGACUGGGGCGGGCUCCUCCUAAAGAGUAACGGAGGAGCUCGAAGGUACGCUCAGCGCGGUCGGACAUCGCGCACUGUGUGCAAAGGCAUAAGCGUGCUUGACUGCAAGAUCGACGGAUCAAGCAGGUAGGAAACUAGGACUUAGUGAUCCGGUGGUUCUGUAUGGAAGGGCCAUCGCUCAACGGAUAAAAGGUACUCCGGGGAUAACAGGCUGAUACCGCCCAAGAGUUCAUAUCGACGGCGGUGUUUGGCACCUCGAUGUCGGCUCAUCACAUCCUGGGGCUGUAGUCGGUCCCAAGGGUAUGGCUGUUCGCCAUUUAAAGUGGUACGCGAGCUGGGUUCAGAACGUCGUGAGACAGUUCGGUCCCUCUCUGCCAUGGGCGUUGGAGAUUUGAGAGGGGCUGCUCCUAGUACGAGAGGACCGGAGUGGACGAACCUCUGGUGUUCCGGUUGUCACGCCAGUGGCAUUGCCGGGUAGCUAUGUUCGGAAACGAUAACCGCUGAAAGCAUCUAAGCGGGAAGCGCGCCUCAAGAUGAGAUCUCCCGGGGCACAAGCCCCCUGAAGGAACCAUGUAGACUACGUGGUUGAUAGGUCAGGUGUGUAAGUACAGCAAUGUAUUGAGCUAACUGAUACUAAUGAUCCGAGAGGCUUGACC
rnacentral:rRNA from 1 species